UCAGCCAUAUGAUUUCAAGAGUCUGUUGCUGU
rnacentral:piRNA from 1 species